CAAUUUAAAAUAUUUACAAUGUCUGUCGUAUUUAUGAUCGAUGUUUUUUAUGGUAGGAUUUGAAAUGGCCUUGUCUUUGAGUAUUUGUUUUUGAAGGACACCUUACUUUCGACUUCGAUAAUAAGCGAAGCCAUUUUAGACACUUGUUCGUGUAGUCUGUCGAGCGUCAAGUCACUGGAGAUGAGCUCUCCAGUUUUCCCAGUUUUCCCCGUUUUGUCCUGUUUUUACAGUGACACCAGUGAGCCCAGUGUUUCGGCAGUAAAUUGCUUAGUUCCGGCCAAAGAAAUUGAAUUUUGAUUCUGUGUUGUCUUCGACUCUUCGUUUGAGGAAGCUAAUAAAGACGUCAUAAUCCCA